rnacentral:lncRNA from 1 species
AAUUCAUAACAUAUGCACAACUGGCUAACGGAAGAGUUCUUUAAUGAUAAAUGAAAAUAACAUUACUGGGAUGGAGAGUUGUCUCAUUGGCACUCAUACCACAUCUUCUUAUAUCAUUUCACCUGUAAUUUACCUGUUAUUUACCUGUAAAAAAAAUCGGCGCAAAUGAAAAAAAAAAUCGGCGCAAAUGAAAGAAAAAAUCGGCGCAAAUGAAAUGCAGAUCGGCGCAAAUGCAAAACGCCGGGUA